rnacentral:rRNA from 1 species
GACGAACGCUGGCGGCGUGCUUAACACAUGCAAGUCGAACGGAAAGGCCCUGCUUUUGUGGGGUGCUCGAGUGGCGACCGGGUGAGUAACACGUGAGUACCCUGUCCUUGACUGUGGGAUAAGUUAAUGAAACUGGGGCUAAUACCGGAUAGGAGCUCCUGCUUUAUGGUGGGGGUUGGUAAGUUUCGGCGGUUGGGGAUGGACUCGCGGCUUAUCAGCUUGUUGGUGGGGUAGUGGCUUACCAAGGCUUUGACGGGUAGCCGGCCUGAGAGGGUGACCGGCCACAUUGGGACUGAGAUACGGCCCAGACUCCUACGGGAGGCAGCAGUGGGGAAUAUUGCACAAUGGGCGGAAGCCUGAUGCAGCAACGCCGCGUGCGGGAUGACGGCCUUCGGGUUGUAAACCGCUUUCGCCUGUGACGAAGCGUGAGUGACGGUAAUGGGUAAAGAAGCACCGGCUAACUACGUG